GUGCUCAGGUUUCUCUUCAUAUCGUAUAAAUCUUUCGCCUUUUACUAAAGAUUUCCGUGGAGAGGAACAAGUACAAGUGUAAAGCAAUUUUUUGAGGCUUCUAGGGGUGGAGCU
rnacentral:snRNA from 1 species